rnacentral:rRNA from 1 species
CAUAGCGGAGGAAAAGAAACCAACAGGGAUUGCCCUAGUAACGGCGAGUGAAGCGGCAACAGCUCAAAUUUGAAAGCUAGCCUUCGGGUUCGCAUUGUAAUUUGUAGAGGAUGCUUUGGGUAAAACGCCAGUCUAAGUUCCUUGGAACAGGACGUCAUAGAGGGUGAGAAUCCCGUAUGUGACUGGAAAUGUUAACCUAUGUAAAGCUCCUUCGACGAGUCGAGUUGUUUGGGAAUGCAGCUCUAAAUGGGAGGUAAAUUUCUUCUAAAGCUAAAUAUUGGCGAGAGACCGAUAGCGCACAAGUAGAGUGAUCGAAAGAUGAAAAGCACUUUGGAAAGAGAGUUAAAAAGCACGUGAAAUUGUUGAAAGGGAAGCGCUUGCAAUCAGACUUGUUUAAACUGUUCGGCCGGUCUUCUGACCGGUUUACUCAGUUUGGACAGGCCAGCAUCAGUUUCGGCGGCCGGAUAAAGGCUCUGGGAAUGUGGCCUCCACUUCGGUGGAGGUGUUAUAGCCCAGUGUGUAAUACGGCCAGCCGGGACUGAGGUCCGCGCUUCGGCUAGGAUGCUGGCGUAAUGGUUGUAAGCGACCCGUCUUG